rnacentral:lncRNA from 1 species
UACCUACAACACAGAAAUUUACAAUGAUAAGAAUGUUGUCCAUUAACUAUUCAAGGUACUGGUCGAGUAAAACAUGGCAUAAGCGUUACUGUACGAUGCAUAUCUGACAACUAAUAGGUGGGAAUAUCCCAACUGGAACAUGACAUGUAAGGAAACUUAUAAAGGUCGUACCCAGUGCACAAAAGCUCUCGCUUUACGCAGGGUCUGGGAGAGGUGAAUGUCGGCUAGCCUUACCCCCAUUUAUGGAGAGGCUGCUCCCAAGUCUCGAACCCGAGACCUACCGCUCAUGGGCGAAGGCACAUGUAAGGAAACUUAUAAUAGAGAAAAAGAUUCCUCCAUCAAUUUAUGUCUCAAAAAAUUGAUAAUUUAGAUUAAAACAUCGUCAAUUGAUAAGCCACAUCCCUAGUGAUUCAGCUACAUCCCAGCAUCAAUACAGGCAAGGUUUGCAAAUGGCUCAAAACACGCACUAGUGAACACGUGUUCAUUGACAUAUUCACGUAACAUGGAGGAAAACUCCAAGAUUGAUGAUGCACUAUUAUAAGACAUUUUUAUUGGGAAAUUAAAAUUGCAACUAUCCAACAAGCUCAAUUUAGCCCUGGGUGAUAACCUAAUUAAAUAAAAUCAUCAUAUGAUAACAAUUAGCCUAAGAGUGUAUAAAUGCAUACAAAAUGGGUGAGGCAAGAGAGAAAAGUAC